GGCUGUAAAGACACGAGCGGGCGUGCGAGUGUCUCCUGUGGCUGCAAGAGAAAGUCAUUAGGAGCUUUGAAGAUGAAUGUACAGCAUCAUCGGCGAGGGACUUGUGUGGCUCCGCGAGGACACAAAGUUAGCAGUGAUCCUUCCAAGAUGACCGAGUAUUUACAGUGGUGACAGAUUGCUCACUGGCCAAGCUCUCUCCUGAACUAAGGUGCUAAGUGAGGCACUGAGGGACCCAGCACGAAUGUCUAACAGCCUGGUGUAAAACUGACUGAACCGAGAGGAAUGGAGGAGUGAUGGAAAGAGAAUCUGCUCUGACCUAAUGCUGCUGAAAUCACUGAGUGGAAAAAAAAGAACAACAAAAUCUGUGGACCAUCCAUGAUCCCAGUUAUUAGACAAUGGAGUGACUCUGGGAUCAGAGGAGGAGAUGUGAUGCUCUGGCUGGAGCUCCACAGGCCACAGAGAUGACACAUGGAUAAACACCAUGCCAGCGACAUGAUGACAUGAUGGGGCCUUAAUGAUAGUUCUUAGCACCUCAUUCUCAUCAGGGCUGUCAAGUCACAAAGGUUGACUUUGACUCCCUGUUGGAGCUCAGUCUGGGGGGAGUUAUUUUUUUCUCCUUAUCUUUCCUCGUGUGGUGCAUUUUUCCAUUGUUAUACCUCUCUGACCUGUCUUCCCCAUGUGAUGUUUUUGUGUAAUGUAUGUAUAGUCAGAGGGUAAGAUGGCGCCGCCAUUGCGUGCAAUAGGUCGGCAGCCUAAUGAAAUUUCCCCUUGUGGGACUAAUACAGGUAUAUCAAAUCAAAUCAAUUCAAAAUCAAAAGUUCAUUUUUUGUUUUUCCAUAAUGCUUCUUCUUCUACAAUAAUUAUAGGAUUUGGAGGUGGUAGUUGUUGUGUUAGUUUUUUUUGCAGCUUUUGUUUAUUAAAUUAUAAUAUAUGAAAUUCUAAUGUAUAGUGUACCUUUGCGAUCUGCAGUGAAAUAAACAAAAUCUUUCCUAAAACUUAAUCUUAAAUGCAUAUUGUGAUUUUUUUUAAGAUAAAUUUUGCAGUUCUUGACACUGUAUUCGGAAGAUUUUCUGCAUGUCUUCUUCUGUAACUUUCACUCCUCUGUCCAGUGAACCACAACCCUCUCACUCUUGACAAUAAAGGUGUAUUUUGCCUCUUU
ensembl:lncRNA